UUUACAAUAAUUCCAUGGGGAAAAUAUUGAAGAAAAUGUUGACAAUACUGUGGACUAUUCAUGAAUAUGGUACAUACAUUUUUGUUAUUUUAGUAUCAAAAAUGAACUGAAGUGACUCUGGACUGAAAGAUUCCCCCACCUUUCUCUCCGAUCUACCUGACUAAUGACUGAGGAAAUGUUUAGGCAUCUGGUCUCAAACACAGGACAUUCUUCCAUAUGAAUUCAAUACACUAAUGGCAGAAAAUUAUGGAAAAAUUAUUUUCUUCAAUGGUGGAACACAAAGGAAGUAAAGGUACUUUCAUUAACUGCAUUGUACAAAUGAGGACACUGAAGCUGCAAGGAACGGAUAACUCGCCCAAACUCUUAGAACUAAUCAGACACUACAGGAGUCAAACUCCGGCAGUCUGGCCCCAGAUCCUGAGGUCCUGAUGUCUUUGUUAUACCGUCUUAAAUGUGUACAUCUCAAUAUGUUAUAUAUGCACAGAUAUGUAUAAAAUUUAAUAGUGAUGUUAAGUAUUAAAGUUAAUCAUGGUAUUCAUUCAUUCCAUCAGGAAACGAACAUUGUUUUUCUAUAAUACAUGCCAGGCACUAUUAUAGAUGCUGACUAUAAAAUGACGGGCAAGAUUGCUAGCAAAAAAAAUUAUUCUGACAGUUGUUAUAAAAGGGUAAGAAAGACUUUGUUAAAGAGAACAGGCUCAACUCCAAAUACAGCAAAGGCAGUUGGGGAUUUAUAGCCAACUCUAGUGAGAAGGUCACUGGAUGAUAAAUCACCAGGAGGCGACAUCAGGGGUCCCCAGAGGGACUUUGGCUAACUGACUUGGAAUUGUCGCAGGAGGCAGGUGAAGACAAGGUCCAAAGAUGAGGCCGAGUCACAAAGCGGGCUCAGGAAAGCUUCACUAAAGUUUGGUUAAGGAGAGCGUCUUUAUCAAGAUACACAAAGAAGCUACCAUUUGUAGCUUAACAUCUAGUAGACAGAAACAGUUAACAAAGGGAUAAACAUGGAUACUUCUGCUCCUGUUAAGGGCUAUAAAGAAAUUAAACCAUGGCACUGCCUUGGAGAGUCACAGAGGAGGAGUUAAAAUGAGGUAGUGUUUUAGAGAAUUCAUGGUUCGAGGAAGGCCGUUUUCAGGAUGUGAUAUUUGAACUGAAUUUAUUACUAGAUAUCAAGCUCAAAGUUGUACCAUAAAAUAAUAGUGAGGGCUUCAUAAAUAUUUUUUUCCACACAAUGAAAGAGGAAAAACUAAUUUAUCACCUCUGUUUUAUAAGUUUUUCUUAAUAAUGUUCCUUUUAAAAGCAAUAUAAAUAUUCUAUUCAGUAUAUAUAUAAUUUUAAUAUAUAAAAAAUUUCAGUAUAUCCUUAGUGAGAAACCUCUUCUCUCCAGCACAUCAAGAGAAGGUUUAGAUAAUGGUAAGAAAAAUACAGAGAACUCAGAACAUUUUCCCCAUGAAGACCUUAAAGAACCCAUCAGAACUUCAAUUUUAUCAGGUAAUUUUUAUUCUCACUUCUCUUUUGAUUUACAUUACCUGAGAGAGAAAAAUAAUUUAAAGAGAGCACUUUGUCCUGACACAUUAAACCACACUAGUGCAUAACUAUUUUUUCUGAGUAUUUUUUUCUAGGCAAGUUUUCCUAUUGAUCUUUAUACAUUUCAAAAUACCCUUCCCUUCAGUUAUAAAGAAAGCAAUGCAACCUAACAGUCAUAUAUAAAAGAAAAUUCUAUUAUAAUAGAGCAUUGACUUUGAAAUUGGAUUAAUAAACAACUCUGAAGAAGAUAAAAGCUGAAAGAGAGAAAGUAAUGCUAAAUCUUACUUAUACCUUAUACUCACUUACCUAAGAAACAACUUAUACAAAGUAAAUACAUAAAGGUGAAACUUGGACAAACAAACAUAAGGGGAAGAGAUGGUUUAAGGAAAAUGUAGAGAUUGAAAGCCUUCCAGUAUGUUUUGUGACAGGUUGACCUUACAGAGAAUAGUUGCAUAGUAAAGUAUAAAAGCUAAACCUUCCCUUGGUAUCAUUAUUCAAAGAUUUUUUUUUUCCAGAUCGAUU